UACGAAGGGGGCUAGCGUUGUUCGGAAUUACUGGGCGUAAAGCGUGCGCAGGCGGCUUCUCAAGUCAGGGGUGAAAGCCCAGAGCUCAACUCUGGAAUUGCCUUUGAGACUGAGUGGCUUGAGUACGGGAGAGGUGAGUGGAAUUCCCAGUGUAGAGGUGAAAUUCGUAGAUAUUCGGAAGAACACCAGUGGCGAAGGCGGCUCACUGGACCGGUAUUGACGCUGAGGUGCGAGAGCGUGGGGAGCGAACCGG
rnacentral:rRNA from 1 species